UAAGCGGUUGAAGGUGUGUGGUAACGCAUGCUGGACGUAUCAGAAGUGCGAAUGCUGACAUGAGUAACGAUAAAGGGGGUGAAAAACCUCCUCGCCGGAAGACCAAGGGUUCCUGUCCAACGUUAAUCGGGGCAGGGUAAGUCGACCCCUAAGGCGAGGCCGAAAGGCGUAGUCGAUGGGAAACGGGUUAAUAUUCCCGUACUUCUUACAAUUGCGAUGGGGGGACGGAGAAGGCUAGGUGGGCCUGGCGACGGUUGUCCAGGUUCAAGUGCGUAGGCUUAAGAGUUAGGUAAAUCCGGCUCUUUUUAAGGCUGAGACACGACGUCGAGCACCUACGGGUGUGAAGUCAUUGAUGCCAUGCUUCCAGGAAAAGCCUCUAAGCUUCAGAUUGUAAGGAAUCGUACCCCAAACCGACACAGGUGGUCGGGUAGAGAAUACCAAGGCGCUUGAGAGAACUCGGGUGAAGGAACUAGGCAAAAUGGUACCGUAACUUCGGGAGAAGGUACGCUCUCGACGGUGAAGUCCCUCGCGGAUGGAGCUAUUGAGAGUCGCAGAUACCAGGUGGCUGCAACUGUUUAUUAAAAACACAGCACUGUGCAAAAUCGUAAGAUGACGUAUACGGUGUGACGCCUGCCCGGUGCCGGAAGGUUAAUUGAUGGGGUUAGACUUCGGUCGAAGCUCUUGAUCGAAGCCCCGGUAAACGGCGGCCGUAACUAUAACGGUCCUAAGGUAGCGAAAUUCCUUGUCGGGUAAGUUCCGACCUGCACGAAUGGCGUAAUGAUGGCCACGCUGUCUCCACCCGAGACUCAGUGAAAUUGAAAUCGCUGUGAAGAUGCAGUGUACCCGCGGCUAGACGGAAAGACCCCGUGAACCUUUACUACAGCUUGGCACUGAACAUUGACCCUACAUGUGUAGGA
rnacentral:rRNA from 1 species